UACGUAGGGAGCAAGCGUUGUCCGGAAUCAUUGGGCGUAAAGCGCGCGUAGGCGGCCCGAUAAGUCCGCUGUGAAAGUCAACGGCUCAACUGUUGGAUGCCGGUGGAUACUGUCGGGCUAGAGUACGGAAGAGGCAAGUGGAAUUCCUGGUGUAGCGGUGAAAUGCGCAGAUAUCAGGAGGAACACCAAUUGCGAAGGCAGCUCGCUGGGACGUAACUGACGCUGAGACGCGAAAGCGUGGGGAGCAAACAGG
rnacentral:rRNA from 1 species